GAAGGUGUAUCUAGAAAGACAAAUUAGAGCUUGAAAAAUAAAGCAUUUCAUUUACAUUGAAAAGUAUAUUGUGUAAUUCAAUUUAAUUUGAUAAUAAAAAUUUAUUAAUUUUUUUUGUUUAAGAAUUUAUUUAAUAAAAUUAAUUUUAAAUUGAUUUUUUUUUGUAUAGUAUGUAGAUCAAAUAAUUUAUAUAAUAGUUAAUUAGUAUUGUAAAAGAAUAUUGAAAUAUAUGAAAAAGUUUUAAAUUAAAAGUAGAUUUUAUAUAUUGUACCUUGUGUAUCAGGGUUUAUUAAUUAAAAGUUAAAAAUUUAAUUUUUCUCGAAUUUAAGAGAGUUAAUUUAUUAUUUAAUUUUUUGUUUCAUAAAAAUUUAAAAUAAUAAAUUAGAAAUGAAAUGUUAUUCGUUUUUAAAUAUAUCUAGUUUUUUAAGAAAUAAAUUAAAUUUAGAUUAUUAGUAAAUAAUUAUUUAUUUAUUUAAAUAAUAAAUUAUUAUUAUUAAUUAAUAUUUUAAGGGAUAAGCUUUAAAGUAAGUUUUAUAAUAGUUUUUUAAUUUAAAAAUUAUAGAUUUAGAAAUAGUCAUUAAUUAUAAAAAUGUUAUAAUUUAUUUUAAAUUGAAAAUAAUUUUUAUUAAUUUAAGUUUUUAUUAAAAUAAUUUUUAGAAUUAUAUAAAAAUUAAAAUAAUGAUAAAAUUAGUAUAUUUUAAUUGUUUAAAAUAAAUAAAUUGAAAGGUUAAAUUAAGGAACUUGGCAAAUAAAUACUCGCCUGUUUAACAAAAACAUGUCUUUUUGAAUAUAAUUUAAAGUCUAAUCUGCCCACUGAAAAAUUUUAAAGGGCCGCGGUAUU
rnacentral:rRNA from 1 species